rnacentral:lncRNA from 1 species
GCCACCUGAAUAAGAAAAUUAACACAAGAGACAUGUUAUGUCAAGUACCACUUGUCUCACCCUCUAUAUGGUACUCAAGCUAAUAUUCCUCUGAAUAUGAUGAAAAUUGUCUCACCCUCGAGAUCUUUCAUGAAAAAAAAAAUCACGACUUAAAGUUUUUUUUGCAUAAGAGUGAAAAAUACAGUGCCUAUACCCGCAAACAAAUGAAAUCAUUAGUCUGUGAUUUGUUGUUUUAACAAUUGUCAGAUCUUGUAGAGCAAAGGCAUUACUGGAGUGAACUUUUUUGUCCUGCUUGACUAUUAGACUAACAAAUGUACAGAGGAUGAUCUACAAUAGGCAAUAAUCCAUGUGCAGAAAAAUACAUGGUAUUUAAGCUAACUUUCAUUGAACCUGGUGAAUCAUGUAUUUGUCUAAGAUAGUGUCUUUUACAUGUAAUAUGCAAUGAACAGUUGGAAAGUUGGAAGUUUCAUUUUUCUCAAAUGACACACAUAUUACGUGUUGCCUGCUUCUCCCCAUAGUACUAUUUCUUAGGCUCACUACAGAGUACUAAAUAACAUCAGCUGUAAAAUGUGGGAAGUAGAUUAGAAUGACAGGAGCUCAUCAAAUGCCUUAUCAAAUAACUAUUUGAUUUGUAGCAUGCUUGUUUCCAAUUCAACCGGACCAUUGAACACAUCAAGCAAUUUAUCCGUGGAGAAGGGAGAUAAUCCUGCAAGACCAUCAGUUGUAUUUUAUAAUGUGAAGACACAUUAAAAUACCAAUGAAGUAGCACUUACCACUCAGGCCUUUUUAGUGUUUAACAUUUAGGGAAAACCGGACCAUUGAACACAUCAAGCAAUUUAUCCGUGGAGAAGGGAGAUAAUCCUGCAAGACCAUCAGUAGUAUUUUAUAAUGUGAAGACACAUCAAAAUACCAAUGAAGUAGCACUCACAACUCAGAUCUUUUUAGUAUUUAACAUUUAGGGAAAGCUAAUAGAGAUAUCGAACAUCUAAUACUUGGCACUGCCUAAACAGGAGCACUCUAUCUUCAUUAAUGAACCUAAAAAUUAUUUAUUUGAUAUUUUGAUUCAGUAUUUACAAAGUUGGAAAAUUAAUUUAAAAUGCUUUGAGCAUUUUAUGAUUAUCCUCAUCAGAAGUUAUGCAAAUCGUUUUAAAAUGCACUCUCACAAUAUGCUGGCAGUUGCUUGUGUGUAUGCACCUAGAGGUUGUUUUAAUGGUUUGGAAAUUUGCACACUUGAAAACUGCUCCAUAGAUAUUGGCAAUGGUGGCCAAGCAAAGAGGUACUUAGGUUGUCUUGAUCAUUUAAAAUCUAUAUCAGAAAUUCGACUUGAUUGAGCCUUGUGGACACCAUGGCUCCCCCUGUUCAGAAAUAUCAACUAAUCAUAAUGAAGUAAUGAUUGCCUACCUAAAGAAUAUGAUGUCCGAGCCAAUAAGGUUCUCCUCAUAGCUGAACAUCCAUAUUUAAAAUUUGGACCUUCUGGAUUAUGAAGGAAACAGGGGUUUGCAUGCUCCUAAGUACCAACUAAUCAUAUGUAUCAAUGAUCACAUACCUAACAGAAAAGGCAUAAAUCACAUAUUGGCAUGAUAUUUUGGGCGUCCCGAUUGCGUGAACACAUAGAGUGCUGCAGCUCAAAGUUGACCUCCCCAAUUGUCUCUGGAACUUAACUGCUAGAAAAAGGCACACAAAAUUGUAGGCAUAAAUAUAUUUUUCUCAACUCUAUCCAACGUCACUAAAAACUAAAGGGCAGCUUGCAUGAACCACAUGCGACUAAACCACACAUAAUAAAGCAUCUUCAUCCAACGGAGGGCACCAAAUCAAUUACCUCUAGAUAAUUGGUGGAGGCAGAUGCCAUGACCGUGAAGAAGUGGACUCCUAGGGUGAGGUUGUUAGCAUGAUGCCGUUCAGUCCUAAUAUGCCACAAAACAAAUAUUUAGCAACAACAGUAAGGAAAUGGAGCACCGUUCUGCUAUAGCACUGCUUAGAAGCAUCUAAACAAAUCUCAAUAUUGUAAAAUUGUUAUGAACUCACAACAUGCAUCUCUGUACACAGCCUACCUGCAAGCAAUUUUUUUGCAUCAUCUUGCAAAUUUAUCCAUAGAUAUAGUUAGCUCAAAAAAAUCAAGUAAUAGGAUUGUGGGCAACACAAAGUAAUCUAGAUGUACUUUGAAUCUUCACCGAACAUUUCAGGUUUGGCCGGCUCGAGCCAUAUAAUUGAAGCAUGACACAUAGGACUUUGUUGCUUAUCAAAUUCAAUUUGAAUAGAGAAGAAGCUCUACUAAUUAAUUAUGAUAGUAACCUUACUUUUAGAUGCAUGGCAAAGCACAACCUUUGUGGAGCUAGAUUCGAGGACAAACAGAGUUUGCGGCUAGAUUGGCAGUGAAGGAAGUACUGUGGCAAGUGACAUCGGUGUUGAAAUAUUGUUCUGGUAUAUACUGAUUAUUGACACCAUACUUCGUCCCAAGCUCCCCAGGUUCUCGGCAAAAAAUGUACAGGGACCGUAUAUUUUCAAGAGUUGGCAAUAUAAGCUAAUAUUUAGGUACCUUUCUGUAUACUACAUAUUAGAUAUAUUGUCUUGAAACAUGCAUGCAUAAAAAGACGCAGAUGCCAUGUUUGGUUUAGCACACAUAGUUUAGUAGUACAGGAUAAAGAAAAUCUGAAAUGUAUUUAGAACUGAAAGUAUAUAUAAGAAGCAAUGACCAUAUUGUUGGAGAUUAUUAAUCCAAGUCCUAUAAAAAACAAAUCUCAAUGAACUUGUGGGGUAGCCUUAGCUGUAGUUGAGGGCAUAAAAGUGAUCGAGAAAACUAUCAAAUACAUGAAGGUUCAUAUGACUGAUGCCAUGAGUUCCACAGGAGCCUGAACCCCUGACUAGCGUUGCUGAUGAACAUCCGGCACGGGUCUGCAUCAACAGUUAAAGCAUCAGCCUGAUUGGUAAGAAGAAAUUCUUCAAACAACACUAAUCCUAUGGCAGACACAUCAGGUUGUGUAAUUUCCUUAUUAAGAAUUCAAUGAAGUCUACUUAACAUUGCUUAGGCCCGAUGUUCAGAUUAGUAAAAAUCAUGUCAAGCAGCUUUGAAUCCGCACUAAUGAUCACAUCCUAAACUGGUCCUAAAAAAUCAGCAGUGGACAUCUACGAUCAUAGUCAUAGGUGCAGUAGUAUUCCUUUAGUGAUUUAACAUGUUUUUGCCAAAAGAUGAGAAUCAUCCAUGUGACCAUGUCUCUGCAACAUAAACAGAUGAAGUAUCAAUGAUCACGAAUUACUCCCUAUGGGAAUUAACAAACACUUUCUUGGCAAAAAAAGCUCUAGUUCUGCAUAUUAAACUGUAGCAUACUGGGCAACAGAAAGCAAUGCAUUGGGUAUUAUUCAUCAUUGACAAUCCACACGACUAUACUAUAGUAAGCUAAAUAGGAGUUGAGCCAAUGAACCAUUUCACUAAAACUAACUAAACCACCAAUUAUAACAAAAUUGUGUUGUCCUCUGUCAAAUUCAAUCCGAUCGACCACUCUCGACUAUUAGUCCUGACUGAAGCGCCUGUUAACAAAUUAACUAAACUACCAUGAUUUGGAAAAACAAAAGUAUCUAAAUCACCAUUGCAAAGCCAAAGGAUAGUAGUAUUGACCCAGUUCCUUGCCAAAUCCAAGUUUGUGUCUGAAGGAGAGGAGAUUCUGCCCACUAACAUGGCCAUCCAGUGGCACGUACUCCACCUAGCACGUUCGCCAAUCCCACCCAAGUUCCAUGAGAGAACUUCAGAGCAGAAAAUUAUCUUGCUGGGUAGCCACUUAGAACACACGCCGAAUUUUCUACAGGGAGCGCGAUCUUCUCCAAAUAUUUUUGCGCCUCGAUGGUAAGUGUGGAGAGGCACAACAGGACGGGCACCAUUGUUGUCAAAGAGUGGAGAGCGUC